UGGGGAAUAUUGGACAAUGGGGGCAACCCUGAUCCAGCCAUGCCGCGUGAGUGAUGAAGGCCUUCGGGUUGUAAAGCUCUUUUGGCGGGGACGAUGAUGACGGUACCCGCAGAAUAAGCCCCGGCUAACUUCGUGCCAGCAGCCGCGGUAAGACGAAGGGGGCAAGCGUUGUUCGGAAUUACUGGGCGUAAAGCGCGUGUAGGUGGUUGUCCUAGUCAGGUGUGAAAGCCUUGAGCUCAACUCGAGAACUGCACUUGAUACUGGGCGGCUAGAGGACCGGAGAGGAUAGUGGAAUUCCCAGUGUAGUGGUGAAAUACGUAGAGAUUGGGAAGAACACCAGUGGCGAAGGCGGCUAUCUGGACGGUUUCUGACACUAAGACGCGAAAGCGUGGGGAGCAAACAGG
rnacentral:rRNA from 1 species